UACAGAGGGUGCAAGCGUUAAUCGGAAUUACUGGGCGUAAAGCGUGCGUAGUCGGUUAUUUAAGUCGGGUGUGAAAUCCCCGGGCUCAACCUGGGAAUUGCAUUCGAUACUGGAUAGCUAGAGUUCGGCAGAGGGAAGCGGAAUUUCUGGUGUAGCGGUGAAAUGCGUAGAUAUCAGAAGGAACAUCAGUGGCGAAAGCGGCUUCCUGGACCAGAACUACGAUCAGGCACGAAAGCGUGGGGAGCAAACAGG
rnacentral:rRNA from 1 species